AUUCCAGCUCCAAUAGCGUAUAUUAAAGUUGCUGCAGUUAAAAAGCUCGUAGUUGGAUUUGUGGCGCGGCCGUCCGGCGGGGCUCCUUCAUUGGGGCCGUUUGUCUGGUUUUUCGGCCGCUCCAUUCUCGGGUAGUGUGUCGCUGGCAUUAGGUUGUCGGCUUCUUCACGCCCGUCGUUUACUGUGAAAAAAUUAGAGUGUUCAAAGCAGGCUUAGGCCAUUGGAUACAUUAGCAUGGAAUAAUGAGAUAGGGCCACGACGGUCUAUUUUGUUGGUUUGCACGUUGUGGUAAUGAUUAACAGGAACGGUUGGGGGUAUUCGUAUUCAAUUGUCAGAGGUGAGAUUCUUGGAUUUAUGGAAGACGAACUACUGCGAAAGCAUUUACCAAGGAUGUUUUCAUUG
rnacentral:rRNA from 1 species